rnacentral:lncRNA from 1 species
UGAUUGCAAUGUAGUAAGUGAGCUAGGGUUUCCACGCAUAAUGUUGCACCUUGCCUCUAGCGAAGAUCUAGAAGUACGAGAAGCUGCACUCCGGGGCCUUCUUGAGCUUGCUCGAGACAAAACUGAUGGGUCCACUAGUGGUUUAGCUGAUGAAGAUGAGAAAUUGAAGCAACUUCUUCAAGAGCGAAUUAAAGGUAUUAGUUCAAUGUCUCCUGAAGAUCUUGGGGCAGCUAAAGAGGAGAGGCAGCUGGUAGACUCCCUCUGGAAUGCCUGCUACAACGAGCCAUCUUCUCUUCGUGAGAAUGGGCUUCUUGUGCUUCCAGGGGAAGAUGCACCACCACCUGAUGUUGCAAGCAAGGUUUUUGAACCUCGUCUUAGAGCUUUUGCUCCAAAUCCUGCAGAUAAAAAC